CGCAGGCGGUUUCUUAAGUCUGAUGUGAAAGCCCCCGGCUCAACCGGGGAGGGUCAUUGGAAACUGGGAAACUUGAGUGCAGAAGAGGAGAGUGGAAUUCCACGUGUAGCGGUGAAAUGCGUAGAGAUGUGGAGGAACACCAGUGGCGAAGGCGACUCUCUGGUCUGUAACUGACGCUGAGGAGCGAAAGCGUGGGGAGCGAACAGGAUUAGAUACCCUGGUAGUCCACGCCGUAAACGAUGAGUGCUAAGUGUUAGGGGGUUUCCGCCCCUUAGUGCUGCAGCUAACGCAUUAAGCACUCCGCCUGGGGAGUACGGUCGCAAGACUGAAACUCAAAGGAAUUGACGGGGGCCCGCACAAGCGGUGGAGCAUGUGGUUUAAUUCGAAGCAACGCGAAGAACCUUACCAGGUCUUGACAUCCUCUGACAACCCUAGAGAUAGGGCUUUCCCUUCGGGGACAGAGUGACAGGUGGUGCAUGGUUGUCGUCAGCUCGUGUCGUGAGAUGUUGGGUUAAGUCCCGCAACGAGCGCAACCCUUGAUCUUAGUUGCCAGCAUUCAGUUGGGCACUCUAAGGUGACUGCCGGUGACAAACCGGAGGAAGGUGGGGGAUGACGUCAAAUCAUCAUGCCCCUUAUGACCUGGGCUACACACGUGCUACAAUGG
rnacentral:rRNA from 1 species